CUUCGACUUCGGAAAUUCUCGAUUUGGCAUCCCCUAAAAUUCGCAGGGUAUAAAUACCUCACGAAUCCCAACCAUCGACUCAGUCCGGGAUCAGCAGCUGAAUCAAGAUGAAGCUUCACUUUCUUCUCGGUAUUCUAUUGUCGACGGUAAUCAUGUUGGCGGAAGCGAAAAAUGGGCUGACCAAUCGGAGAGGCAGUAAAGAACACAUGGAC
rnacentral:lncRNA from 1 species